rnacentral:tRNA from 1 species
GGUUUGGUGGUCUAGUGGUAUGAUUCUCGCUUAGGGUACACCCUACAGCAUGUAUGCGAGAGGUCCCGGGUUCAAUCCCCGGCCAAACCC